GUCCUUUGCGGGCCUGGGGUGGAACAUCUGGAGGAAGGCUGGAUGCAAGCGGGAAGCCGGCUGGCUGGGACUGACACAGCUCGGCUCGCCAGGGGCACUGCAGCGGAGCAAGGAUUCAUCCAGGAUGGGAGGGGAGAGCUGAGCUUUGCCUGUCAGGAGGCUGUGACCGCUUACGGUGAUGGUCAGGGGCUAUGGCAAGGCCGGGGGGCUCCAGCACCCAGCUGUGAUUCGGGACAGGGCAAUGAAAGAUCAGGUCAGACUGGCGUGGUGUGUGUGACGGAGUGGGUGGAAAGCCAUUUUGCCCCAAGAGGAAGAAAUGCCAUCCUCAGUCGCCAACUGCAAGCAUCGGAAAAGCCUGAAUUCUGGCCACAGGACUGGCUGAAAACCGCCCGUUCUGCUCCAUAAUAAACACGCUCCGCCGGUCUGGA